GGGAAUUGCGGUGCAGCAGGGCGGGUAUACCGGUGGGGGCAAGCGUUAAUCGGAAUAACUGGGCGUAAAGCGCAGGCAGGCGGUUAGAUAAGUCAGUAGUGAAAUCCCCGGGCUCAACCUGGGAGCGGCAUUUGAAAAGGUCUGACUAGAGUCUUGUAGAGGGGGGUAGAAUUCCAGGUGUAGCGGUGAAAUGCGUAGAGAUCUGGAGGAAUACCGAUGGCGAAGGCAGCCAUCUGGCCUAAUACUGACACUGAGGUGCGAAAGCAUGGGGAGCAAACAGGAUUAGAUACCCCGGUAGUC
rnacentral:rRNA from 1 species